AAUUCGAUUGAGUUUGAUCAUGGCUCAGGAUGAACGCUAGCGGCAGGCUUAAUACAUGCAAGUCGAGGGGCAGCACAGGUAGCAAUACUGGGUGGCGACCGGCAAACGGGUGCGGAACACGUACGCAACCUUCCCGGAACAGGUGAAUAGCCCUGCGAAAGUAGGAUUAAUACACCGUAUGAUAUAGGGGUGGCAUCACUUAAAUAUCAAAGGUAGCAAUACCGGUUUUGGAUGGGCGUGCGCCUGAUUAGGUAGUUGGUGUGGGUAAUGGCCCACCAAGCCUUCGAUCAGUAACUGGUGUGAGAGCACGACCAGUCACACGGGCACUGAGACACGGGCCCGACUCCUACGGGAGGCAGCAGUAAGGAAUAUUGGUCAAUGGACGGAAGUCUGAACCAGCCAUGCCGCGUGAAGGAUGACUGCCCUCUGGGUUGUAAACUUCUUUUAUCUGGGACGAAAAAAGGGCUUUAUAGCUCACUUGACGGUACCAGAGGAAUAAGCACCGGCUAACUCCGUGCCAGCAGCCGCGGUAAUACGGAGGGUGCAAGCGUUAUCCGGAUUUACUGGGUUUAAAGGGUGCGUAGGUGGGCAGGAAAGUCAGUGGUGAAAUCUCCGGGCUUAACCCGGAAACCGCCAUUGAUACUAUUUGUCUUGAAUACUUUGGAGGUAAGCGGAAUAUGUCAUGUAGCGGUGAAAUGCUUAGAUAUGACAUAGAACACCAAUUGCGCAGGCAGCUUACUACACAGUAAUUGACACUGAGGC
rnacentral:rRNA from 1 species